rnacentral:rRNA from 1 species
AUUGAACGCUGGCGGCAGGCUUAACACAUGCAAGUCGAACGAGUGGCGGACGGGUGAGUAAUGUCUGGGAAACUGCCCGAUGGAGGGGGAUAACUACUGGAAACGGUAGCUAAUACCGCAUACCAUCGGCUCGGCCCAGAUCGGAUUAGCUAGUAGGUGGGGUAAAGGCUAACCUAGGCGACGAACCCUAGCUGGUCUGAGAGGAUGACCGGCCACACGGGAACUGAGAGACGGCCCAGACUCCUACGCGAGGCAGCAGUGGGGAAUAUUGCACAAUGGGCGAAAGCCUGAUGCAGCAAUGCCGCGUGUAUGAUGAAGGCCUUCGGGUUGUAAAGUACUUUCGGCGGAGAAGCGUUACCCGCAGAAAAAGCACCGGCUAACUACGUGCCAGCAGCCGCGGUAAUUC